CCAAAGCUUCUUUGUCUUGUAGUUGGAGGAAUGUCUGCUGAAAACCCUUUGGUUAAUAAAAGAAAAAAUAUUGAAGAUGUUAACAUGCAAAAUUCUCAAUCCUUUAAAAAACUAACAUCUUCUGAAAGUGGUCCUCAUACUGCAACUCCAGUAGGAAGUAAUCAGAUGCAAUUGCCCGUUGAUGAAAUUAAUAAAUCAAGUCAGGAGUUGGAUAGUCCUUGUUCAAGCCCUCUUCAAAAUGCACUUGAUAACUCUCUUGUUACUGAUCCUACUGAAAGGUGUAAAUCAAUUGUAUAACAACAUUUCAAGAAAGUAAAGGUUGAUGGAAAAGACAAGGCGGAGUGUAACUAUUGCCACAAACAAUUGGUUAGUGGGGGAAAAAAUGGCACUAGACAUUUACAUGAUCAUCAUAAAAUUUGUCCAAAAAGAAAAUACCAUGAUGUAUCACAGAAGUUGCUUGUGGGAUCCCAUAGAGAGAAUAAUAAGUUGACAUUAUCCACUUAUCAAUUUGAUCAAGAGGCAGGUAGAAAAGACCUUGCAAAUAUGAUUAUAUUACAUGAAUAUCCUUUAAGUAUAGUAGAUCAUUGUGGGUUUAGGAGAUUUUGUAAUACUAUUCAACCUUUGUUCAAGAUGGUAUCUAGAAACACCAUUAAGAAGGAUAUAAUGAACAUUUAUGAUGUUGAAAAGGGCAAGACAAUGAAAUUGUUAAACAAAAAUUUAGGGAGAAUAGCAAUCACUUGUGAUUUGUGGACUGCAAGCAACCAAAACAAAGGGUACAUGACUAUUACAGCCCACUUUAUCGAUAACAAAUGGGAGUUACAAAAUAGACUUAUAAGGUUUGUUUAUGUUCCUGCCCCACAUACAAAAGAUGUGAUUUCUGAGGUAUUGAUUGAUUGCUUUUAUGAGUGAGAUAUUGAUAGAAAAUUGUCCACAUUGGCUGUGGACAAUUGUUCCACUAAUGAUGCAAUUAUUGAUGAUAUCUUGAAUAAAUUGUCACGUUCAACACUUAUGCUUUAUGGUUCAUUGUUUCAUAUGCGUUGUUGUGCUCACAUUCUCAAUUUAAUUGUUCAAGAUGGUUUAUCUAUAAUUAGUGAUGAAAUUGCAAAGAUUCGAGAGAGUGUUUCCUUUUGGAGAGCAUCACCUAAAAGGGAGCAAAAAUUUG